rnacentral:rRNA from 1 species
CCUGGUCUKGACAUCCACAGACUUWGGCAGAGAUGCYUUAGUGCCUUCGGGAACCGUGAGACAGGUGCUGCAUGGCUGUCGUCAGCUYGUGUUGUGAAAUGUKGGGUUAAGUCCCKCAACGAGCGCAACCCUUAUCCUUUGUUGCCAGCGGUCCGGCCGGGAACUCAAAGGAGACUGCCAGUGAUAAASUGGAGGAAGGUGGGGAUGACGUCAAGUCAUCAUGGCCCUUCGCCAGGGCUCMCACGUCUMSAAU